rnacentral:rRNA from 1 species
AGUGAACGCUGGCGGCGUGCCUAAUACAUGCAAGUCGAACGGAGUGGCGCACGGGUGAGUAAUAUAUAGCUAAUCUGCCCCUUGCUGGAGGACAACAGUUAGAAAUGACUGCUAAUACUCCAUAGCAAGGGAUGAGACUAUAUCGUAUCAGCUAGUCGGUGGGGGAACGGCGGACCGAGGCUCUGACGCGUAACUGGUCUGAGAGGAUGAUCAGUCACAUUGGAACUGAGACACGGUGCCAACAGCGGCGGGAAGCAGCAGUAGGGAAUAUAGCGCAAUGAGGGAAACCCUGUCGCGGCAGCAGCGCGUGGAGGUUUACACUUUUCGUGGCGUAGACACAUUUUGUUAGGAGAGCGGUACCUGACGAAUAAGCACCGGCUAACUCCGUGCCAGCAGCCGCGGUAAUAC